GCUACUGCCAUCCACAUUUUACCGAUGAGGAACUGACAUUUGAAAACAGUAAGGAAACGGAAGGCAGGACCGUAUAACCAAAGUCUGUGCAGGAACUUCCUGCUGGCCCAGCAGAGUCUCAGGUCUCCACGGGCAUCUCCAGAGGACGGCAAGCGUAUUUGAUGGCGGACUUCUGCAAUCUGUCUGGAGUGUUACCACAUGCCAGGCAGCUCCUAGAACGUUUCCCUCUCUCCCACUAGCACGCUCAUGAAAGGAUGAGAGUGAAACAGCACAUAAUGGCUUAUUAAGAAACUGGUUUUACUUUGAGGACCCUCUGAAAAGGGUUUCAGAAUUCCCCACGCAUCUCUUGGCCACACUCUGAGAAUCACUGGCUUGAGGAGCGCAAGCCCUCUUAGCAACCAACAGAGUUGAACAGCUCAGGAUGCCGCCACCCCACAACCAAGCACUAUAGUGGAGUGUGCCUUUCAUCCCCACACCAGCCAUUCUCUGUGCCUCAAACUCGGUGUAGCCUAACCAGCAUUUCUUCAGCACCGGCCAGGAAUGUGACAGACAAUAUACUGAGAAGACAGAAAUAUCAAAUGAGUCUUGACUCUCGAAAGACUCACACUUAGUCAGGAAGACGCCGUAACCAGAGAGAAUAAGGAGAGCCGGCUCGUAAGACGUGUGCAUCCGGCAGCAUGAAUGACAGAACAACCACCCAGUGCUGGCUUGAACAAGAAGGGGCAAUGCUGGCUCUCUAAACUAGCAACACUACCAGAACAUCAGGAGCAUCUCGAUGCUGCUUUUAUCCAUUUGUCUCCUCCGUCUGCCUCAGACUGUCUGUCCUUUUCUGCUAGGCUGCACACCCAACAGACAGAGCUUCAUCUCUAGCUUUGACUUUGUCCAUCCAUGACAGGCACCAGCAGGAGAUGGGAAGAACACCCAGAGAAAAGGCUAGAUCAUUGGCUUCCCCCAAGCCCAUCCCAUUUCCUCCUUGCCUUAUACCUGACUGUCUGCAUUCCACAAUAGCCAGUGGACCUCGUGGGUCAACUCUUGCCUGUCUCUAGUAACACUGCUGUCUCCCCCUGCAGGUCUGAGGAUUGCUAAUAGCUCCCCACCACUGGUGGUCACCAGGUGCCUCCCUGUGCUUCCUCAUUCCUUUCAUCCUUUGUGAAUAAUCCCAAAUCAUUGCUCCUUCAAGUGUGCUUCUGAGUGUCCCAUCUUGUAGUACAGCUGUUUUCUCUGGGUUUAAUAUAUGAUCAACACUAUCCUGAAGCAGAGACCUUUGCCCACAGUCACGGCAACAAAAUGAACAUGACUAGACAGCAGAGAGCUAAGUCUAUGGUAAUGAGGCUGUUAACAUUUCCUCUUGAAGAAGCAGAGAGAGGGUCACAAAAUCUUCACAAGACCUUCCCCUGAGAUUUCAAUCAGCACUCCUUCCCGCUCCAGCUGAACACAACCAACGAUGUAAAAGGUAACAACUUGACGGGGAAGACAGGACCUCUCUACAGUGCGGCUGCUGUGAGUCCUCCAUGCCCCUGUAAGGAAAUCCAAUAAACCCCUCUGU